rfam:Oryza barthii chromosome 6, whole genome shotgun sequence.
AAUAACAAACCCUGAUUUCCGUGCCCAAUGUUUGACUGUCCGAAAUAAAAAAUUAUGAAAAAAAUUAAAAAGACAAGUCACGUAUAAAAUAUUAAUCAUGUUUUAUCAUCUAACAAUAAUGAAAAUACGAAUUAUAAAAAAAUUUCAUAUAAGACGGACCGUUAAAGUUGGACACGGAAACCCAGGGUUUGAUUUUUU